UGUCCUGAGCUCACCCCUGAACCUCAGGUCAUAAUGCGAACAGCAGCAGAUAAACGUCUGCCUCACGCUAGGCCUCCCUGGGAGCCAGGCUGCAGGUUGCUGCUGCUCACCGGCCCCAAAGACCACGUCAUCCGCGCCCUCAGGCCUGCGACACAGCAUCUCUCUGAGCAGACAGACUUCGCAGAUGGGCUAAGCAGAGGACCCUGAGCUGGGGACCAUCCUGGAUCAUCCAGGGCUUGCUGUCAACCAUCAGGUCCCUGGAAAGAGGCAGGAGGACGGACUGCGGCCAAGGAUGCCUGCGUUGACCCUCUGACCCCACAACUGUCCAGGGGUAAAAGGUCUUUUAUUUUUCACAGCGCUGGGAUGGAACCCAGGGCUUUGCACAGCAGAUGUGAGUCGUCUUCACCGAGCCGUGUUCUGAGCCCUGACUGGGCCGCUCUAGGCAGGUAUGCAGUGUGUCAACACAAAACCAGAGGCCACGGUGGAGCUCGGUGGGCGGAGCCCUCACUCAGCGGGAACAGAAAAGCCCAGGCUCCCAUCCCCAGCACUACAUGAACCAGGCAUGGCGGCCACACCUAUCACCCAGAUCAGGAGUUCAAGAUCUGUCAUCCACCAGGACUGAACCUCGCUCCUCCCUCACCCCAGGCCCUGUGGAUGGAAUCCCUGAAGGAAGGGGGUGUGGAUGAUUGGCCAUAGUCCAUCACCUGAGCUGUCCCAGCCAGGGAGAGAAACCAAGCGUCUGGAGUCAGGUAAAAGGAAGACUGAGCCUUUAUUAUGGAGGAUUCACAUCGCCGUGACCCUCAUUCCACACAAUAUUAAACACUGCCAGAGUGGGUGUGGCA